rnacentral:rRNA from 1 species
GACGAACGCUGGCGGCGUGCCUAAUACAUGCAAGUAGAACGCACAGUUUAUACCGUAGCUUGCUACACCAUAGACUGUGAGUUGCGAACGGGUGAGUAACGCGUAGGUAACCUGCCUGGUAGCGGGGGAUAACUAUUGGAAACGAUAGCUAAUACCGCAUAAUAUUAAUUAUUGCAUGAUAAUUAAUUGAAAGGUGCAAUUGCACCACUACCAGAUGGACCUGCGUUGUAUUAGCUAGUAGGUGAGGUAACGGCGAACCUAGGCGACGAUACAUACCCGACCGGAGAGGGGGAUCGGCCACACUGGGACUGAGACACGGCCCAGACUCCUACGGGAGGCAGCAGUAGGGAAUCUUCGGCAAUGGACGAAAGUCUGACCGAGCAACGCCGCGUGAGUGAAGAAGGUUUUCGGAUCGUAAAGCUCUGUUUUAAGAGAAGAACGGGUGUGAGAGUGGAAAGUUCACACUGUGACGGUAUCUUACCAGAAAGGGACGGCUAACUACGUG